AUUGGGUGGACAAUCGCAGAUAUAAAAGCCAGGUGUGAAGAGAAGCAUUUGCUUCUCAAUUGGGAAAAGUGUCAUUUCAUGGUUCAACAAGGCAUAGUUCUUGAUCACAUAGUCUCAUCACGAGCGUUAAAGUACUUAUUGUCGAAGAAGGAUGCUAAACCACGUUUAAUCCGAUGGAUUCUUCUUCUCCAAGAAUUCGACCUUAUCAUCAAAGACAAGAAGGGUGCUGAAAACGUAGUCGCCGACCACUUGUCUCGGCUUACAUUUGCUGAAAAUGAGCACACUGUCCCUAUCCUUGACUUUUUUCCUGAUAAAUAAUUAAUGUCAGUUGAAAAUUUGCCUUGGUUUGCUGACAUAGUUAAUUUUUUGGUGACAGGACAAACUCCACCCCAUUGGAAUGCUCAAGACAUACGAA